rnacentral:rRNA from 1 species
AGAGUGAACGCUGGCGGUAGGCCUAACACAUGCAAGUCGAACGGCAGCACGGUAAGAGCUUGCUCUUAUGGGUGGCGAGUGGCGGACGGGUGAGGAAUACAUCGGAAUCUACCUUUUGGUGGGGGAUAACGUAGGGAAACUUACGCUAAUACCGCAUACGCCCUUCGGGGGAAAGCCGGGGACCAGCAAUGGCCUGGUGCUGAUAGAUGAGCCGAUGUCGGAUUAGCUAGUUGGUGAGGUAAUGGCUCACCAAGGCG